GUGUCCUGGAAGCACAUAUACUAAAAUUGGAUACAGAGAUGAUACAGAGAUGAUUACCAAGGACCCUUCACACAAGGAUGACACACAAAUUCGUGAAAUGUUUCAUAUUAAA